rnacentral:rRNA from 1 species
UACGGAGGGAGCUAGCGUUGUUCGGAAUUACUGGGCGCAAAGCGCACGUAGGCGGCUACUCAAGUCAGAGGUGUAAGCCCGGGGCUCAACCCCGGAACUGCCUCUGAAACUAGGUAGCUAGAAUCUUGGAGAGGUCAGUGGAAUUCCGAGUGUAGAGGUGAAAUUCGUAGAUAUUCGGAAGAACCCCAGUGGCGAAGGCGACUGACUGGACGAGUAUUGACGCUGAGGUGCGAAAGCGUGGGGAGCAAACAGG